rnacentral:rRNA from 1 species
CCUACGGGAGGCAGCAGUGGGGAAUAUUGCACAAUGGGGGAAACCCUGAUGCAGCGACGCCGCGUGAGUGAAGAAGUAAUUCGUUAUGUAAAGCUCUAUCAGCAGGGAAGAAAAUGACGGUACCUGAGUAAGAAGCCCCGGCUAACUACGUGCCAGCAGCCGCGGUAAGACGGAGGGGGCAAGCGUUAUCCGGAUUUACUGGGUGUAAAGGGAGCGUAGACGGCAGUGCAAGUCUGGAGUGAAAGGCGGGGGCUCAACCCACGGACUGCUCUGGAAACUGUACGGCUGGAGUGCAGGAGAGGUAAGUGGAAUUCGUAGUGUAGCGGUGAAAUGCGUAGAUAUUAGGAGGAACACCAGUGGCGAAGGCGGCUUACUGGACUGUAACUGACGUUGAGGCUCGAAAGCGUGGGGAGCAAACAGGAUUAGAUACCCUUGUAGUC